GGACAUUGUGAAAAGAAACCAUAUAUGACCAGGAAGUACACACUCACCAGACACUAAACCUGCUUACUGCUGCCUUGACUUUGAACUUUUCAGCCUCCAGAACUGCAGGUCCUUCAGGAGGUGUCCAGAAGAAAGUAUUGUUAUCACAGGAGAUGACAGCUCCAUGCAUGUUAUUUUCCCCGGAAGACCUCCCAGUGGGACAAGAUGUGGAGGUGGAAGACAGUGAUACUGACAAUGCUGACCUGUGUGGGCCUUGGCUAGUGUAUGUGUUUCUGUCUUAGUUUUUAACAAAAAGUUUAAAAAGUAAAUAAUAAAAUUAAGAUUUAAAAACAGAAAACAGCAUAUAGAAUAAAAAUAUAAAGAAAGG
rnacentral:lncRNA from 1 species